UAUCAUUUAAUUCAGGACAAAAAAAAAUAGGGCGGUGGUGACAUCAAUUGGACCUUAUUUUUAAACUCUUGAGAUGUUAGUAGAGAAUCUUCUCCCUGGACCUGUGUAGAGCGGCAGACAUGUUUAAAUGGACCUAAAGUCAUCAGUCUUCAAGAGGAAGCCCUGGAGACCACGGUUAGCUGAGCAGGAUCAGGAGCUUCCAGAGGGUUCUGAGGGCGGCGGAACUUCCCGGCCUUCCUGCAGGUGGGACAGCCACUUCUUUCACCAGUGCAUUCUGGUUAUAUCUAAGAGUUGGGUUGUUCUGACAGAACUUCCAGCUUGUCCUCAGAGACCUGCACAGGGCCAUCCCCAGGAACAGAACCAAGACCCGCAUGGGACAGGAGGGGACACAGAAUGGCACAAAUUUGCAAGCAUGCAUUCCAUAAUCAAUGGGUUGUUUCUUUUAAUGCCACACACAUUUAUUGAGCGCCCACUGCAUGCCUGGCACGGUCUGGCAAACAAAUCAGACAUGCCUGUUGCCCCGGAGGAGCUCACGGUGCAGUGGAGGAGGAGAGCGUGAACCAGGAAACGGCCCAGGAGGUAAAUUUAGAUGGCAUGAGUUGGUGCGACAGGAAGUAAACAGCGAGAAGCGGCGGGCUGGUUGGGGGAGGCUGUUGCUCCCGUCACAAGGUCAGGGAAGGCCAUUCGAGCUGAGGUCUUGGACCAUGUGAGUCAAGAUCUGGGGGAAAGGCGAGUCGGUGGCAGGCACUGCCAGGGCAAAGGCUGGGAGGCAAGUCCGAGUGGGUGAGCCACAGGAGGCCAGCACAGGACUGCAGGGAGAGCUGGCCGUGCUCCCCGCCGACACACCCCACCCCCGUCCCCUGGCUUCUGUCCCCUGCUCCGUUGACCAUGGUGGCAUCUCCACCAGCCUCCUGGAGGCUGAAUCCAGGACCAUCCCCUCAGCCACACACACCGGGUCCCUUCCACACCCCUUCACCACACUGUGCCACCUCCAAGCAGGGUCCUCUGCCUGCUGCCAUCUUGCUUGCGUGGGUGGUGAAAUCCGCCUUUUUAACCAUUUCUAGGUUCACGGUGCAGUGGCUUUGGUCCACUCCCAUGGCUCUGCAGCCUCCCCCCCCCCCAGCUCCAGAACCUCCUCAUCUUCCCAAGCAGGAGCUCUGACCCCUCCAACCUGACCCCGGGCCCUCCCAUCCCAGGCUCCCACCAGGCUGCUUCCUGUCUCUGGAUCUGAGGCUCCAGGGUCCUCCUGUGGGUGGACCUGCAGUCCUCCUGUUGUGUCCGGCUCACAUCACUGCACACAACGACCUCCAGGUGCACCCUUCAGUACAGCAAAUCAGAACUUCCUUUUCCUGGCUGGGUGGUAUUCCACUGCACAGAUGGACCCCAUCAUCCAUGAGUCCGCCGAGGGACAACUGGGUUCUUUUGACCCUUGGGCUGUUGUGAGUCUUUCUCCUGAGGACACGGGUGUACCCCUGUCUUUAGGUUCCUGCUUUGGUCCUCCUUUUAAGACUUAGAGGAUGGCUUUCCCUUCGGCUCCUAACUGCUAUCACCGAUGUGGCCACUAGAGAGCAGCACUUUCCCGUGGCUUCGCUCCCACCCGCUAAGACCAGAGAGAAGCCGAAAACCCGCUGGGAGUGGAAACCCCAGGCCUUGGGGCCAGGGGUGGCCUGAGUAGCCGGG
rnacentral:lncRNA from 1 species